GCGAACAUCGUAUAAUGGCUAUUACCUCAGCCUUCUAGCCUUCCUGGCUGAUGAUGUGGGUUCGAUUCCCGCUGUUCGCU
rnacentral:tRNA from 1 species